rnacentral:rRNA from 1 species
CUUGAGACCGGCGCACGGGUGCGUAACGCGUAUGCAACCUACCUUUAUCUGGGGGAUAGCCCGGAGAAAUCCGGAUUAAUACCGCAUAAAAUCACAGUAUUGCAUAAUACAAUGAUCAAACAUUUAUGGGAUGAAGAUGGGCAUGCGUGUCAUUAGCUAGUUGGCGGGGUAACGGCCCACCAAGGCGACGAUGACUAGGGGAUCUGAGAGGAUGACCCCCCACACUGGUACUGAGACACGGACCAGACUCCUACGGGAGGCAGCAGUAAGGAAUAUUGGUCAAUGGAGGCAACUCUGAACCAGCCAUGCCGCGUGCAGGAAGACUGCCCUAUGGGUUGUAAACUGCUUUUAUCCGGGAAUAAACCUAUUUACGUGUAAAUAGCUGAAUGUACCGGAAGAAUAAGGAUCGGCUAACUCCGUGCCAGCAGCCGCGGUAAUACGGAGGAUCCAAGCGUUAUCCGGAUUUAUUGGGUUUAAAGGGUGCGUAGGCGGCCUGUUAAGUCAGGGGUGAAAGACGGUAGCUCAACUAUCGCAGUGCCCUUGAUACUGAUGGGCUUGAAUGAACUAGAGGUAGGCGGAAUGAGACAAGUAGCGGUGAAAUGCAUAGAUAUGUCUCAGA